rnacentral:rRNA from 1 species
GGACGAACGCUGGCGGCGUGCUUAACACAUGCAAGUCGAGCGGUAAGGCCCUUUCGGGGGUACACGAGCGGCGAACGGGUGAGUAACACGUGGGUGACCUGCCCUUAGCUCUGGGAUAAGCCUGGGAAACUGGGUCUAAUACCGGAUAUGACUCCAUGACGCAUGUUGUGGGGUGGAAAGCCUUGUGCGGCUAGGGGAUGGGCCCGNGGCCUAUCAGCUUGUUGGUGGGGUGAUGGCCUACCAAGGCGACGACGGGUAGCCGGCCUGAGAGGGCGACCGGCCACACUGGGACUGAGACACGGCCCAGACUCCUACGGGAGGCAGCAGU